AUUAGCGGCGGACGGGUGAGUAACACGUGAGUAACCUGCCUUUUACACAGGGAUAGCCUCGGGAAACCGGGAUUAAAACCUGAUGAAACUAUCAAAUCACAUGAUUAAGAAAGUUAAAACUCCGGUGGUAAAAGAUGGACUCGCGUCCCAUUAGCUAGUUGGUGAAGGUAACGGCCCACCAAGGCAACGAUGGGUAGCCGGCCUGAGAGGGUGAACGGCCACAUUGGAACUGAGAAACGGUCCAAACUCCUACGGGAGGCAGCAGGA
rnacentral:rRNA from 1 species